rnacentral:rRNA from 1 species
GGUAGGGCUUUAUCGUAAGAUAGAGUUUGAGAGUGGCGAACGGGUGAGUAACACGUAGGAAUCUACCCUUAAGACGGGGACAACCCAGGGAAACUUGGGCUAAUACCGGAUGAGAGUGCGAGAGAUUGCAUUUAAAAGGAUGGCGAAAGUUGUCGCUUAGGGAUGAGCCUGCGGUCUAUUAGUUAGUUGGUGAGGUAAGAGCUCACCAAGGCGAUGAUAGAUAGGCGGCCUUAACGGGUGGUCGCCCACACUGGGAUUGAGAUACGGCCCAGACUCCUACGGGAGGCAGCAGUCGAGAAUAGUCUACAAUGGCCGGAAGGCUGAUAGUGCGACGCCGCGUGAACGAGGGAGCCCUUCGGGGUGUAAAGUUCUUUUCUAUACGAGCAGUGCUAUAUAUGGAUAGUAUAUAUAGGGGGAUAGUAGUAUAGGAAUAAGCAACGGCUAACUCCGUGCCAGCAGCCGCGGUAACACGGGGGUUGCGAGCGUUGUCCGGAAUUACUAGGCGCAAAGGGCAGGUAGGCGGAUCUACGAGUUUUUUGUUAAAGGCUACGGCUCAACUGUAGUAGAGCAGGAGAUACUGUAGGUCUGGAAUGCGGUAGGGGAAGACAGAAUUCCUGGUGUAGCGGUGGAGUGCGCAGAGAUCA